rnacentral:ncRNA from 2 species
CUGGGUGGACUCUCAGCAGAAGCGGUAUGUUCCAGUAAAAGGAGACCAUGUGAUUGGCAUAGUGACAGCUAAAUCUGGAGAUAUAUUCAAAGUUGAUGUUGGAGGGAGUGAGCCAGCUUCUUUGUCUUACUUGUCAUUUGAAGGUGCAACUAAAAGAAACAGACCAAAUGUGCAGGUAAUUACGGGAGCCUUUGGUUUCAAAGAAACAAACAUCCAU